GAGUUUGAUCAUGGCUCAGAUUGAACGCUGGCGGCAGGCCUAACACAUGCAAGUCGAGCGGAUGACGGGAGCUUGCUCCUUGAUUCAGCCGGCGGACGGGUGAGUAAUGCCUAGGAAUCUGCCUGGUAGUGGGGGACAACGUUUCGAAAGGAACGCUAAUACCGCAUACGUCCUACGGGAGAAAGCGGGGGACCUUCGGGCCUCGCGCUCUUGGAGCGGCCGAUGUCGGAUUAGCUAGUUGAUGAGGUAAAGGCUCACCAAGGCGACGAUCCGUAGCAGGUCUGAGAGGAUGAUCUGCCACACUGGAACUGAGACACGGUCCAGACUCCUACGGGAGGCAGCAGUGGGGAAUUUUGGACAAUGGGGGCAACCCUGAUCCAGCCAUGCCGCGUGAGUGAAGAAGGCC
rnacentral:rRNA from 1 species